rnacentral:lncRNA from 1 species
GAAGCGUGUGGUCUGCGUGGACCCCCAGUUGGAAAAAUCGGUUCCACACCAUUAUCGGCUUUUUCACAGAACAAGCUUUUCCCCGUGUUCGGCGCAGUCGUGUGUAGACUUUAAACAUUGUUUUUUUGAAAAGAUAUUUAUUAGUAAUUAACACUAUUGCUUUGGAAUUUUCACUGGAGACUAAACUCUAGCAGCCAAAAACUCUGAACCCAAAAUUUGGAAUAUAAAAAAGUAACAAACUUUGUGUUAUUUUUGUGAAUUUGACAGAGAAAAAAUAUGGGAAGUUGUGUUUCAAAGCAAGGAAGCGUUGGGGGAUUUCCAAAGAAGAAGAAAAGGAAGAUUUUGAGGAGAAAAAGGAUCAUUAAAAGGAGGGUUUCUUCUCGUAAGCUUGAGAAUGGGGAAUUUUGUGCUGGUUCUAAGGACCUUUCUCGUGCUAGUUCUACGAUCCAAGGUUAACCCUUUGUUUUUCUUGAUAACCCUUUUCACUAUUUUUUGGUUUUGAAUCAUUGAAGCUUGUUGUUAGUUUUUGAUUUCUGGGUUUGACUGAUUGAGGAAAUANNN